rnacentral:rRNA from 1 species
ACGGCUCAGUAACACGUAGCUAACCUACCCUUUGGUCAAGGAUAACCUCGGGAAACUGAGGCUAAUACUUGAUAGAAAAUAAUUUCUGGAAUGAUUUAUUUUUCAAAUUCGAGCCAAAGAAUGGGGCUGCGGCUGAUUAGGUAGUUGUUGGUGUAAAAGACUAACAAGCCGAUGAUCAGUAAGGGCUCUUAGCGGAGAAGCCCUGAGAAGGAAUCUGAGACACUAUUCCUAGCUCUACGGGGUGCAGCAGUCGAGGAAAUUUUACAAUGCUCGAAAGAGUGAUAAAAUAAACCAGAGUGUUUCUUUUAAAGAAACUUUUGUCAGUUGUAAAAAGACUGGCGAAUAAGGACUGGGCAAGACCGGUGCCAGCCGCCGCGGUAAUACCGGCGGUCCAAGUCGUAUCCACAUUUAUUUGGUCUAAAACAUUCGUAGCUUGUUUGAUAAGUCUCUUGUGAAAUCUGAUAUCUUAAAUAUCAGGCGUGCAAGAGAUACUAUCUUACUAGAGACCGGAAGACGCAAAGAGUAUUGUUGAGGUAGCGGUAAAAUGUGUUAAUCUCAAUUAGACUAACAAUGGCGAAGGCACUUUGCGAGUACGGAUCUGACAGUGAGGGAUGAAGGCUAGGGGCGCAAAAGGGAUUAGAUACCCCUGUAGUCCUAGCAGUAAACACUGCUCACUAAACAUUAGUACCUCCUCGAGAGGUAUUGGUGCUGUAGAGAAGUCGAAGAGUGAGCUACCUGGGAAGUAUAGUCGCAAGACCGAAACUUAAAGGAAUUGGCGGGGGAGCAC